rnacentral:rRNA from 1 species
UACGUAGGGUGCAAGCGUUAAUCGGAAUUACUGGGCGUAAAGCGUGCGCAGGCGGUUAUGUAAGACAGGUGUGAAAUCCCCGGGCUUAACCUGGGAACUGCAUUUGUAACUGCUUAGCUAGAGUAUGGUAGAGGGAAGUGGAAUUUCCGGUGUAGCGGUGAAAUGCGUAGAUAUCGGAAGGAACACCAGUGGCGAAGGCGACUUCCUGGGCCAAUACUGACGCUGAGGCGCGAAAGCGUGGGGAGCAAACGGG